rnacentral:rRNA from 1 species
GAUGAACGCUGGCGGCGUGCCUAAUACAUGCAAGUCGAGCGAACAGACGAGGAGCUUGCUCCUCUGACGUUAGCGGCGGACGGGUGAGUAACACGUGGAUAACCUACCUAUAAGACUGGGAUAACUUCGGGAAACCGGAGCUAAUACCGGAUAAUAUAUUGAACCGCAUGGUUCAAUAGUGAAAGACGGUUUUGCUGUCACUUAUAGAUGGAUCCGCGCCGCAUUAGCUAGUUGGUAAGGUAACGGCUUACCGAGGCAACGAUGCGUAGCCGACCUGAGAGGGUGAUCGGCCACACUGGAACUGAGACGCGGUCCAGACUCCUACGGGAGGCAGCAGUAGGGAAUCUUCCGCAAAGGGCGAAAGCCUGACGGAGCAACGCCGCGUGAGUGAUGAAGGUCUUCGGAUCGUAAAACUCUGUUAUUAGGGAAGAACAAAUGUGUAAGUAACUAUGCACGUCUUGACGGUACCUAAUCAGAAAGCCACGGCUAACUACGUG